rnacentral:rRNA from 1 species
AUUGAACGCUGGCGGCAGGCCUAACACAUGCAAGUCGAGCGGAUGAAGGGAGCUUGCUCCUGGAUUCAGCGGCUGACGGGUGAGUAAUGCCUAGGAAUCUGCCUGGUAGUGGGGGAUAACGUCUGGAAACGGGCGCUAAUACCGCAUACGUCCUGAGGGAGAAUGUGGGGGAUCUUCGGACCUCACGCUUUCAGAUGAGCCUAGGUCGGAUUAGCUAGUUGUUGGGGUAAAGGCCUACCAAGGCGACGAUCCGUAGCUGGUCUGAGAGGAUGAUCAGUCACACUGGAACUGAGACACGGUCCAGACUCCUACGGGAGGCAGCAGUGGGGAAUAUUGGACAAUGGGCGAAAGCCUGAUCCAGCCAUGCCGCGUGUGUGAAGAAGGUCUUCGGAUUGUAAAGCACUUUAAGUUGGGAGGAAGGGCAGUAAGUUAAUACCUUGCUGUUUUGACGUUACCAACAGAAUAAGCACCGGCUAACUUCGUG